rnacentral:rRNA from 1 species
AAGCGGACACGGUCGUUGCACUGGCAGUCAGAGGCGAUGAAUGACGUGCUCAGCAGCGAAACGAGCCGGCGAGGAGAUAUGAACCCUUGACCCGGCGAUUGCCGAAUGGGAAAACCCAGUGUGUUGCUACACACUAUCGUUAACUGAAUACAUAGGUUAACGAGGCGAACCGGGGGAACUGAAACAUCUAAGUACCCCGAGGAAAAGAAAUCAACCGAGAUUCCCCCAGUAGCGGCGAGCGAACGGGGAGCAGCCCGGAGUCUGAAUCAGCUUGUGUGUUAGUGGAACGGUCUGGAAAGUCCGACGGUACAGGGUGAUAGUCCCGUACACGAAAAUGCACAUGCUGUGAACUCGAAGAGUAGGGCGGGACACGUGGUAUCCUGUCUGAAUAUGGGGGGACCAUCCUCCAAGGCUAAAUACUCCUGACUGACCGAUAGUGAACCAGUACCGUGAGGGAAAGGCGAAAAGAACCCCGGCGAGGGGAGUGAAAAAGAACCUGAAACCGUGUACGUACAAGCAGUGGGAGCCUCUUUAUGGGGUGACUGCGUACCUUUUGUAUAAUGGGUCAGCGACUUAUAUUCUGUAGCAAGGUUAACCGUAUAGGGGAGCCGAAGGGAAACCGAGUCUUAACUGGGCGUUAAGUUGCAGGGUAUAGACCCGAAACCCGGUGAUCUAGCCAUGGGCAGGUUGAAGGUUGGGUAACACUAACUGGAGGACCGAACCGACUAAUGUUGAAAAAUUAGCGGAUGACCUGUGGCUGGGGGUGAAAGGCCAAUCAAACCGGGAGAUAGCUGGUUCUCCCCGAAAGCUAUUUAGGUAGCGCCUCGUGAACUCAUCUUCGGGGGUAGAGCACUGUUUCGGCUAGGGGGCCAUCCCGGCUUACCAACCCGAUGCAAACUACGAAUACCGAAGAAUGUUAUCACGGGAGACACACGGCGGGUGCUAACGUCCGUCGUGAAGAGGGAAACAACCCAGACCGCCAGCUAAGGUCCCAAAGUCAUGGUUAAGUGGGAAACGAUGUGGGAAGGCACAGACAGCCAGGAUGUUGGCUUAGAAGCAGCCAUCAUUUAAAGAAAGCGUAAUAGCUCACUGGUCGAGUCGGCCUGCGCGGAAGAUGUAACGGGGCUAAACCAUGCACCGAAGCUGCGGCAGCGACGCUUAUGCGUUGUUGGGUAGGGGAGCGUUCUGUAAGCCGUUGAAGGUGUGCUGUGAGGCAUGCUGGAGGUAUCAGAAGUGCGAAUGCUGACAUAAGUAACGAUAAAGCGGGUGAAAAGCCCGCUCGCCGGAAGACCAAGGGUUCCUGUCCAACGUUAAUCGGGGCAGGGUGAGUCGACCCCUAAGGCGAGGCCGAAAGGCGUAGUCGAUGGGAAACAGGUUAAUAUUCCUGUACUUGGUGUUACUGCGAAGGGGGGACGGAGAAGGCUAUGUCAGCCGGGCGACGGUUGUCCCGGUUUAAGCAUGUAGGCGGAGGUUCCAGGUAAAUCCGGUACCUUUUAACGCUGAGGUGUGAUGACGAGGCACUACGGUGCUGAAGUGAUAAAUGCCCUGCUUCCAGGAAAAGCCUCUAAGCAUCAGGUAACACGAAAUCGUACCCCAAACCGACACAGGUGGUCAGGUAGAGAAUACCAAGGCGCUUGAGAGAACUCGGGUGAAGGAACUAGGCAAAAUGGUGCCGUAACUUCGGGAGAAGGCACGCUGAUAGGUAGGUGAAGUCCCUGCGGACGGAGCUGAAAUCAGUCGAAGAUACCAGCUGGCUGCAACUGUUUAUUAAAAACACAGCACUGUGCAAACACGAAAGUGGACGUAUACGGUGUGACGCCUGCCCGGUGCCGGAAGGUUAAUUGAUGGGGUUAGCGGCAACGCGAAGCUCUUGAUCGAAGCCCCGGUAAACGGCGGCCGUAACUAUAACGGUCCUAAGGUAGCGAAAUUCCUUGUCGGGUAAGUUCCGACCUGCCCGAAUGGCGUAAUGAUGGCCAGGCUGACUC